GUUACAAUUCAAACGCAGGCGGGCGGGCCUGGAGCCCCGCAGUUACCGCCUGAGAGUUUUCUCUUCCUUUAUCUCCAGUCCCUGAUGGCCUCGCAGAACCGCGACCCGGCUGCUGCCAGCGCCGCCGCCGCCUCCCGUAAGGGAGCCGAGCCUGGGGCGGGCGCGGCCCGAGGGUCCGUGGGCAAGAGAUUACAACAAGAAUUGAUGACCCUAAUGAUGUCUGGAGAUAAAGGAAUUUCUGCCUUCCCAGAGUCAGACAAUCUCUUCAAAUGGGUUGGGACCAUCCAUGGUGCAGCUGGGACAGUAUAUGAAGAUCUGAGGUACAAGCUUUCUCUGGAGUUCCCCAGUGGCUAUCCAUAUAAUGCUCCCACAGUGAAAUUUGUCACACCCUGCUACCAUCCAAAUGUGGACACCCAAGGCAAUAUCUGUUUGGACAUCCUCAAAGACAAGUGGUCAGCUCUGUAUGAUGUCAGGACCAUCCUACUCUCUAUCCAGAGCCUGCUGGGAGGUGAUGCCUGCUAGCUUAACCCAAUAUUGAUAGCCCAUUGAACACACAUGCUGCUGAGCUUUGGACAAACCCUACAGCCUUUAAAAAGUACCUGCUGGAAACCUACAUGAAGCAGGUGACCAGCCAAGAGCCCUGACCCUGACUGCCCAGCUUCCCUCGCCUUCAUCUUGUGUGUGUGUGUGUGUGUGUGUGCGCGCGUGUGCGUGUGUGUGCGCGUGCGUGUGUGCAUGUAGCCUUUUCCUUCCUCAAGGCCUGUCUUCUCUCUUCUGUCUAAUUCUUUAUCACAGACUGUUUUCCUUUUCUUCUGAUGUUUUUCUUUUCUUUCUUUGUUCAACUCUAGACCAGCCCUCAACAUUAAUGUAUAAAUAAAUUUUGUUUUUGUUUUUUAAAA